rnacentral:rRNA from 1 species
AUGGGCACCGGAGGCAAGGGAUAUAAGCCCCCUGCCCUGCAGCUGGAGAAGCUGCUGGCGCUCGGCCUCGACCAGCGAACGGCGGAGAACGCGCUUGUCAACAGCAAGGUCACGGCCAACCUAGCCGCCGUCAUAGCCGAGGCUGGUAUCAGUUGGUGUGACAAGUCAGUAGGGAAUCUUCUUUAUGCCGUUGCCACCAAAUACCCAAACAAUGCACUUGUCCAUCGUCCUGCUCUCAUCGACUAUAUCGUGUCCAUGAAAAUAAAGAACCCUGCACAGCUGGACGCUGCUCUGUCAUUUCUUACUAAUGUUGGUCCUGAUCCUUUGGAUACUGGGAAGUUUGAAGAAGCCUGUGGUGUAGGCGUGGUUGUUUCAAUUGAAGAGAUUCAUUCAACUGUCACCAAGGUUCUACAUGAAAAUAUGGAAGCUAUAUUGGAGCAGCGUUAUCAUAUAAAUGUUGGUAACCUAUGCGGACAGGUUAGGAAGAGACACCCCUGGGGUGAUGCUAAGGCGACAAAGGAGGAGAUCGAGAAAAGGCUUGCAGAGAUAUUGGGUCCAAAGACGGAAGCUGACAAUGUAAAACCAGUAAAAACAAAGAAAGGAAAACCAGCAAAAUCUGAGGAGAAAAAGGUUGCAGUAGCUACUGUUGCCCCACCAUCUGAGGACCUGAAUCCAUACUCACAUUUUCCUGAGCCGGCAGAAAACAACAAGGUUCAUACAGAAAUAUUCUUCAGCGAUGGGAACAUAUGGAGGGCACAUAACACAAAGGAGAUUUUAGAGAAACAUCUUAUGGCAACUGGUGGAAAAGUGACGACCCGUUUUCCUCCAGAACCUAAUGGAUAUCUUCAUAUCGGUCAUGCCAAGGCUAUGUUUAUUGAUUUUGGACUGGCUAAAGAGCGGAAUGGCUAUUGUUACCUUCGGUUUGAUGACACAAACCCUGAAGCUGAAAAGAAGGAAUAUAUAGACCACAUUCAGGAGAUAGUCCAUUGGCUGGGUUGGGAGCCCUACAAAGUUACAUAUACAAGUGAUUAUUUUCAAGCUUUGUAUGAGCAUGCAGUUGAGUUAAUACAGAAAGGGCUGGCCUAUGUAGAUCACCAGAUCAAGGAAGGCAGGGAAAAUAACUUGGAUAGUCCAUGGAGGGAUAGACCUAUUGAAGAGUCACUAAAGUUAUUUGAAGACAUGCGGCGUGGGCUAAUUGCUGAGGGCGCAGCAACUCUGCGAAUGAAGCAGGACAUGCAGAAUGAUACCAGAAACAUGUACGACUUGAUUGCAUACAGAGUAAAAUUCACCCCUCAUCCGCAUGCUGGUGACAAGUGGUGUAUCUAUCCAAGCUAUGAUUAUGCUCAUUGCAUGGUGGAUUCAUUUGAAAACAUUACUCACUCGCUGUGCACGCUUGAGUUUGACGUACGUCGUCCGUCAUACUACUGGGUACUUGUUGCCUUGGGCUUGUACCAGCCAUAUGUUUGGGAGUAUUCAAGGCUGAACAUAUCACAUAAUAUUAUGUCUAAAAGAAAGUUGAAUCGGCUUGUGACAGAGAAGUGGGUAGAUGGGUGGGAUGAUCCUCGUUUGUUAACACUGGCAGGACUGCGGCGACGGGGGGUGUCAGCAGCUACAAUUAAUUCAUUUAUCCGUGGAAUGGGGAUAACAAGAUGUGACAAUAGCUUAAUUCCUUUCGAACGUCUUGAAUAUCACAUCAGAGAAGAACUUAACAAAACAGCUUCUCGAGCCAUGGUUGUUCUGCAUCCUCUAAAGGUUGUAAUAACUAACUUGGAAGAUGGAAAAGUCAUAGACCUUGAUGGAAAGAAGUGGCCUGAUGCUCCUGCUGAUGAAGCUUCGUCGUACUACAAGGUUCCUUUCUCAAGAACUGUCUACAUUGAAAAAACUGAUUUUCGCCUCGAGGACCCGAAAGACUAUUAUGGGCUAGCUCCUGGUAAAUCCGCCCUGCUAAGGUAUGCGUUCCCGAUAAAAUGCACAGAGGUUAUUCAUGGCGAUAAUCCAGAUGACAUUGGUGAGAUUCGAGCUGAGUAUGACCCCUCAAAGACCUCUAAACCCAAGGGUGUUCUGCACUGGGUUGCCGAGCCAGCGCCUGGAGUCGAACCGCUAAAGGUGGAAAUAAGACUGUUUGAGAAGCUGUUCUUAUCAGAGAAUCCUGCCGGGCUGGAGGAUAAAGAGCCGGAGGGCACAGCCUGGCUGCGCGAUCUCAACCCGCACUCGAAGGAGGUCGUGAAGGGCGCGUAUGCAGUACCAUCGCUCGCAGCCGCGGUUGUGGGCAACAAGUUCCAGUUUGAGCGGCUCGGCUACUUUGCCGUGGACACGGACUCGACGCCCGAGAAGCUCGUGUUUAACAGGACCGUCACGCUGCGCGACUCGUAUGGGAAGGCCGGGGGACCCAGGUGA